ensembl:lncRNA
GUAUAGUAUGAGGGCAGAAAUGGUUAAGUUCAGUAUGAGGUCAGAGAUGGUUAAGUGUAGUAUGAGAUCAGAGAUGGUUAAGUGUAGUAUGAGGUCAGAGAUGAUUAAAGUGUGAGAUCAAAGAAGGUUAAGUGUAGUAUGAGGUCAGCGAUGGUUAAGUAUAGUAUGAGGUCAGAGAUGGUUAAGUGUAGUAUGAGGUCAGAGAUGGUUAAGUAUAGUAUGAGGUCAGAUGAUUAAGUAUAGUAUGAGGUCAGAGAUGGUUAAGUGUAGUAUGAGGUCAGCGAUGGUUAAGUAUAGUAUGAGGUCAGAGAUGGUUAAGUUCAGUAUGAGGUCAAAGAUGGUUAAGUAUAGUAUGAGGUCAGAGAUGGUUAAGUGUAGUAUGAGGUCAGAGAUGGUUAAGUAUAGUAUGAGGUCAGAGAUGGUUAAGUACAGUAUGAGGUCAGAGAUGGUUAAGUUCAGUAUGAGGUCAGAGAUGAUUAAGUAUAGUAUGAGGUCAGAUAAUUAAGUAUAAUAUGAGGUCAGAGAAGGUUAAGUGUAGUAUGAGCUCAGAGAUGGAC